ACGUUUAGGCUUCGGGUCCGCCGGGAGGGCCGAUGCGACGUCGUAAAAUCAUGGAAAUGGAUUUGAGGCAUCGUGGCACAUAACCGAAGACCUAUAAUUUCCGGAUUUGUAAAGCGGAACACGGUUGAGGCGCAAGAUCUUGUCGGGCCCAAAGGGUGCCGAGUGCCGCGGGAGGCCGAUUGCAAGUGACGACAAGCAAUCGGAACGCGAGUUAAGGUCGUUCAUGUGCGGCGCGGCGGCGCGAGGCGAGGGCGUAGCUCAGUAGAUAGCGCCCCACCACAGAGACCGAGGUAGAAGUACCCUGAGGCAGUCUAGCUUAGGGGACUAGAAGACAAGGAAAAACAAAAUGUAUUAAACUUGUAAACCCUAAUGUGAUGAGAUUGUAAUCUGGAAGUAAAAAAUGUAAAUAGGAACUGUGAUGUAAAAGUGAAUGAAUGCUUGUAAAAGCUAGUAGUUUAUGUAUUUGAUACUUCCU